rnacentral:tRNA from 1 species
GGGCCGGUAGCUCAGCUUGGCUGGAGCGUUCGGCUGAUAACCGAAAGGUCAUGGGUUCGAAUCCCAUCCGGCCCA